CCACCCCACACAAAUCCCCCCACCCCACCACCGCUACGCACACCCAGCCAGAUGAAACCACAGCCACAGAUACAGCACCAUAUACCUGAGCCGGAGAGGGAUUUGGACUUUGCCAGUCCAGACCAGCGUGAGUCUUUCAAGGUGAAGAGAGAGUUUUUCCAGAAGAUUGGUUCUCAGCCCAAGCCAGCAGCCAAACCGUUAAAGCCUCGCCCUGUUCCCAGCAGCCCCCCCAAACAGACCCGUCCCCGCUCCCCCUCUCCACCCC